UCAGUGGCCGAAGUUGCUCAGGAGUCUGUGGUGUGCUCGUGUGUCUUUCGUAAUACCGCUGCUUGCUCCUGUGUCCUGCGCGAUGGCGAGUGGACCUUCGUACUCCUUGAGGGAUCGGCGUGAAGAGUGUGGCGCGCGUUUGUCUCCUGACGGCGGUGAUGGAGGCCAGGCCGCGGCGCUGAUGGAGGCGGGAAAGGCUGCAGGUGAGGCCCACGCGCCCCUCACACAUCAGCGGGGCGGCAGUUCCACAUAAUGGCAGUUUUCACGGUCGAAGGCACGGCGGGGAUCCUCCUCCUCUGACCCUCGCCUCCCCUCGCACGUGUCUCCAACCAG